CUCCCGUCCCCGAAAGAAAAAAGCGAGCGCUCCACACGGGGGUCGAUACAGAGGAGGGGAUCGGUCAUCGGCGACAGAGGGAUCGAGCCGCGCCUGAUGCAGGCGACGAGGUCGAUCGAUCCAGCCGACGCGCGCGCAUUGCGGCCGACGCGGGCGAUCGCCUGCGAGGGGAUCGAGCUGUCGGUGCAAGACGGGAUCCAGCGGACGCACACAUUGCGGGGUGACUCGGUGGGCGCUCGAUCCAGCCGACACUGUCGAUUGGGCUUCGAGGGACAAAGGGAAGGGACGCGAGCGAUGAAGGCCGACGCCUCAGCUGAUCGAAACUGCUCCGCGGUACUUAUAGACGCAAUAAUAAUUCAGUUUAUGAGCCCACAUUCACGCCGAGGGUUACAGAGUUCAUGUAAGAUUCAGUGCCAAGCAAUUACAUUAUUCUGGCAUCUUUGAGCAUGAUACUCGGGUAGGUUGCCUCUUUUCAGUUCAGGCUGUCUAUACUCGACUGAUUUGGGCACAUCUUAGAGCUUGGUACUGGGAUUAUUUGUUCGGCAGUUCAUAAUAUGAAUUGGCUUUUGGACAGCACGCAAGAGAAAAUCCCCUUAACCAUGUUCUGUUCUGCUCUGCUCAUGUUCUGAUUAUGUUAAUCAUCUGGCCAGUUGACAAGGGAACCUACCCUGAAUCUCUUCCUAUGAUCUUAUUCAACUUGUGAGUUGCACUCGCGCCGAAAACAAAUUGGAUCGUGGGCGGAGCACAUAAUUGCGAAGUGGAGCUGCUCAGAUCGCUGUCGUUCUAGACUGAUCCUCCAAAUAUUGCAGGAAAAAAGUAGAUCAUGCCGAUGGCAGUGGCCGGCGUCACUUCCUCGAUUCUCAACGGGUCUGUGUAUUUCCCCUUCUGUGCAUCGCCUACUUUCUACAAUAAGUUAAUUACUCGAUUUGGUCUCCGUGAUGUCGAAUGGGAGAGGAAGACGAGAGGCUGAGCACGAAAGCAUGCCAAGGAGAGUUGAACUACCACAGAGCGGAGGCUUGCCCUCAUCACAUAUGUGUUUGGGCCCUCCCCACCUCGACCUCUACCGGCGGUGCCCUUCUCAUGGUUACAGCAGCGUCUAUAUAUUUAGGAAACUUUCGAUCGUUAUAUGGUCCAAAUGGACGGGCGUGGCAACGUGGUUAGAAGCAUCUCUACAAGGAGGAAUUCGAGCUAUGUGCUGCUUGGUUUCUUUUGUUCUUCCAGCUGAAUCUGCCGGCAUACAAUGGCUAACGGACAGGCCAGUAUCAGUAUGCUCUUAUGCCUCAUCUCACUAUCUUAGUUGUACUAUGUACCCUUUAUUCGUAUGAUAUGAUUUCACUCUCUAUGAUUGUUUGAAAUAAUCAAAGUACACAUACUGUUCCUGCCCUAUGUAGCAGGUUAUUGAGCAAGGGAAAAAUGCGCAAAAGAAAGACAAAUGUCGUACAAGGCCUGAGGGAUCAAAUAAAAAUAUUGUUCUUCCCAGACCAAAAUGAACGAAACAUACCUAUUAUAAACUUGCAGACCAACCUUCUUAUUACCACAAGCUUAUUUUUACACUGUCCUGCCCAGGUACAAGGUGGGUCUUAUUGAUGCUGAUGAAUUAGGGGAACCUGAGUUUGUGUUCUUUGCUUCAGUUGCUGAACAAGCUAUUGGCAAGAGACUUGAAGUUAUCAUGCACGGUGCAUCAGACAGCCCAUUUGUUGUUCCUGCAGAGUUAUCAGUCUUGAUAUCAGAAAUUCACACUUCCCUUAACUAUCAAUGAGAAGGGCCUUAAGCACGGGCAACUCUCUUUCUAAGUGAACGGAACAUCAACAGAGACAUCUGUGUAAGCUAGCAAGAUGGAUAAUCCUACCAAUGAACACAUUCCAGGAACUGUUGAAGCAUGACAGAAGGCCCAGUCCAAGAUCAUACUUCCAGAUGAAUUUAGAAAUGCCAGCCCGACAACAAAUCUAAUAGCCCAAUAUCCUUGCCUUGUUUAAUCCUCCUGUCAUCUCAUGUAUACCUCUGGCUUUCAAUAUUCAAUAAAGGAUGGAGCUA